GACGUAGGGAGCGAGCGUUGUCCGGAUUCAUUGGGCGUAAAGCGCGCGUAGGCGGCCUCGCAAGUCGGUUGUGAAAUCCCGGGGCUCGACCCCGGGACUGCGUCCGAUACUGCGAGGCUGGAGGUAGGUAGGGGAGAUCGGAAUUCCUGGUGUAGCGGUGAAAUGCGCAGAUAUCAGGAGGAACACCGGUGGCGAAGGCGGAUCUCUGGGCCUUACCUGACGCUGAGGCGCGAAAGCUAGGGGAGCGAACAGG
rnacentral:rRNA from 1 species